rnacentral:rRNA from 1 species
CCUACGGGAGGCAGCAGUAGGGAAUCUUCCGCAAUGGACGAAAGUCUGACGGAGCAACGCCGCGUGAACGAUGAAGGCCUUCGGGUCGUAAAGUUCUGUUGUUAGGGAAGAACAAGUGUUAGUUGAAUAAGCUGGCACCUUGACGGUACCUAACCAGAAAGCCACGGCUAACUACGUGCCAGCAGCCGCGGUAAUACGUAGGUGGCAAGCGUUGUCCGGAAUUAUUGGGCGUAAAGCGCGCGCAGGCGGUUUCUUAAGUCUGAUGUGAAAGCCCCCGGCUCAACCGGGGAGGGUCAUUGGAAACUGGGAAACUUGAGUGCAGAAGAGGAAAGUGGAAUUCCAAGUGUAGCGGUGAAAUGCGUAGAGAUUUGGAGGAACACCAGUGGCGAAGGCGACUUUCUGGUCUGUAACUGACGCUGAGGCGCGAAAGCGUGGGGAGCAAACAGGAUUAGAUACCCUGGUAGUCCACGCUGUAAACGAUGAGUGCUAAGUGUUAGAGGGUUUCCGCCCUUUAGUGCUGAAGUUAACGCAUUAAGCACUCCGCCUGGGGAGCGGUCGCAAGCUGAACUCAAAGGAUUGACGGCUGNGAGNGCGACGCGACGACGAGGGAGAGG